rnacentral:rRNA from 1 species
AGAGUUUGAUCCUGGCUCAGGACGAACGCUGGCGGCGUGCUUAACACAUGCAAGUCGAACGGAAAGGCCCACCACUCUUUGGUGGUGGGUACUCGAGUGGCGAACGGGUGAGUAACACGUGGGUGAUCUGCCCCGCACUGUGGGAUAAGCCUGGGAAACUGGGUCUAAUACCACAUACGACCAUGGCGUAGGGGUCAUGGUGGAAAGCUUUUGCGGUGUGGGAUGAGCCCGCGGCCUAUCAGCUUGUUGGUGGGGUAAUGGCCUACCAAGGCGGCGACGGGUAGCCGGCCUGAGAGGGUGGACGGCCACAUUGGGACUGAGACACGGCCCAGACUCCUACGGGAGGCAGCAGUGGGGAAUAUUGCACAAUGGGCGCAAGCCUGAUGCAGCGACGCCGCGUGGGGGAUGACGGCCUUCGGGUUGUAAACUCCUUUCGCCCGGGACGAAGCCCACCUUAGUGGGUGACGGUACCGUGGAGAAGAAGCACCGGCUAACUACGUGCCAGCAGCCGCGGUAAUACGUAGGGUGCAAGCGUUGUCCGGAUUUACUGGGCGUAAAGAGCUCGUAGGUGGUGUGUCGCGUCGUCUGUGAAAUUCCGGGGCUUAACUCCGGGCGUGCAGGCGAUACGGGCACGACUAGAGUGCUGUAGGGGUAACUGGAAUUCCUGGUGUAGCGGUGAAAUGCGCAGAUAUCAGGAGGAACACCGAUGGCGAAGGCAGGUUACUGGGCAGUUACUGACGCUGAGGAGCGAAAGCAUGGGGAGCGAACAGGAUUAGAUACCCUGGUAGUCCAUGCUGUAAACGGUGGGCGUUAGGUGU